CGCAACCCCUAUUGUUAGUUGCCAUCAUUCAGUUGGGCACUCUAGCGAGACUGCCGGUAAUAAACCGGAGGAAGGUGGGAUGACGUCAAAUCAUCAUGCCCUUAUGACCUGGGCUACGACACGUGCUACAAUGGUUGGUACAACGAGUUGCGAGUCGGUGACGGCGAGCUAAUCUCUUAAAGCCAAUCUCAGUUCGGAUUGUAGGCUGCAACUCGCCUACAUGAAGUCGGAAUCGCUAGUAAUCGCGGAUCAGCAUGUCACGGUGAAUACGUUCCCGGGUCUU
rnacentral:rRNA from 1 species